GUCUACAGCCAUGCCAUCCUGAAUGUACCCUAUCUUGUUUGAUCUCAGAAGCUAAGCAGGGUCAGGCCUGGUUAGUACUUGAAUGAGAGAAAUACUUGAAAGUAGGAA
rnacentral:rRNA from 1 species